UAAUUGAAGAGUUUGAUCAUGGCUCAGAUUGAACGCUGGCGGCAGGCCUAACACAUGCAAGUCGGGCGGUAACAGGGAGAAGCUUGCUUCUCCGCUGACGAGCGGCGGACGGGUGAGUAAUGUAUGGGGAUCUGCCUGAUGGCGGGGGAUAACUACUGGAAACGGUAGCUAAUACCG
rnacentral:rRNA from 1 species